CGCGGCCUAUCAGCUUGUUGGUGGGGUAAUGGCCUACCAAGGCAAUGACGGGUAGCUGGCGUGAGAGCGCGACCAGCCACACUGGGACUGAGACACGGCCCAGACUCCUACGGGAGGCAGCAGUGGGGAAUAUUGCGCAAUGGGCGAAAGCCUGACGCAGCGGCGCCGCGUGGGGGAGGAAGGACUCAGGUUUGUAAACCCCUGUCGGGUGGGACGAAUCCCGUAGUGUCGAAUAGGCAUUACGAAUGACGGUACCACCAAAGGAAGCUCCGGCUAACUCAGUGCCAGCAGCCGCGGUAAUACUGGGGGAGCGAGCGUUGUUCGGAAUUACUGGGCGUAAAGGGCGCGUAGGCGGCUUGGUCAGUCGCGUGUGAAAGGCCGGGGCUCAACCCCGAGCACUGCACGUGAUACUGCCUGGCUCGAGAGAGGUAGAGGCGAGCGGAAUUCCCGGUGUAGCGGUGGAAUGCGUAGAUAUCGGGAGGAACACCUGUGGCGAAGGCGGCUCGCUGGACCUUUUCUGACGCUGAAGCGCGAAAGCGUGGGUAGCAAACAGGAUUAGAUACCCUGGUAGUCCACGCCGUAAACGAUGGGUACUAGGUGUUGGGAGGAUUGACCCUUUCAGUGCCGGCGCUAACGCAUUAAGUACCCCGCCUGGGGAGUACGG
rnacentral:rRNA from 1 species